CGCUGGCGGCGGCCUAACACAUGCAAGUCGAACGUCCUGGAGUAAUCCAGGGAGUGGCGGACGGGUGAGUAACGCGUGGGAACCUGCCCCCAAGUGAGGAAUACCGGCGAGAAAUCGCCGACAACACCGCAUACGCUCAGAGCGCAAGCACUGAGCAAAGCCUGCAAAGGCGCUUGGGGAGGGGCCUGCGUCCGAUUAGCUGGUUGGGGAGGUAAGAGCUUCCCAAGGCGACGAUCGGUAGCUGGUCUGAGAGGAUGAUCAGCCACACUGGGAUUGAGAACGGCCCAGACUCCUACGGGGGGCAGCAGUGAGGAAUUUUCGUCAAUGGUCGCAAGACUGAACGAGCAACGCCGCGUGCAGGAGGAAGGUUUUCGGAUCGUAAACUGCUUUUCUGCGGGACGAGCAAGGACGGUACCGCAGGAACAAGCCCCGGCUAACUACGUGCCAGCAGCCGCGGUAAUACGUAGGGGGCAAGCGUUGUCCGGAGUUAUUGGGCGUAAAGCGCACGCAGGCGGUCGCGCGCGUUUGCAGGGACAGUGUCCGGCUUAACUGGACAAGGCCUGCGAAAACGGCGCGACU
rnacentral:rRNA from 1 species